rnacentral:rRNA from 1 species
GAUGAACGCUGGCGGCGUGCCCAAUACAUGCAAGUCGAGCGAACAGACGAGGAGCUUGCUCCUCUGACGUUAGCGGCGGACGGGUGAGUAACACGUGGAUAACCUACCUAUAAGACUGGGAUAACUUCGGGAAACCGGAGCUAAUACCGGAUAAUAUAUUGAACCGCAUGGUUCAAUAGUGAAAGACGGUUUUGCUGUCACUUAUAGAUGGAUCCGCGCCGCAUUAGCUAGUUGGUAUGGUAACGGCUUACCAAGGCGACGAUGCGUAGCCGACCUGAGAGGGUGAUCGGCCACACUGGAACUGAGACACGGUCCAGACUCCUACGGGAGGCAGCAGUAGGGAAUCUUCCACAAUGGGCGAAAGCCUGACGGAGCAACGCCGCGUGAGUGAUGAAGGUCUUCGGAUCGUAAAACUCUGUUAUUAGGGAAGAACAAAUGUGUAAGUAACUAUGCACGUCUUGACGGUACCUAAUCAGAAAGCCACGGCUAACUACGUG